rnacentral:rRNA from 1 species
UACGAGGGGGGCGAGCGUUGUUCGGAAUUAUUGGGCGUAAAGGGUGCGUAGGCGGUUCCGCAAGUCCUGUGUGAAAUCUUCGGGCUCAACUCGAAGUCUGCACGGGAAACUGCGGGGCUUGAGUGUGGGAGAGGUGAGUGGAAUUCCCGGUGUAGCGGUGAAAUGCGCAGAUAUCGGGAGGAACACCAAUGGCGAAGGCAGCUCGCUGGGACGUGACUGACGCUGAGACGCGAAAGCGUGGGGAGCAAACAGGG